CAGACACGUCACGCGGCAGCCGGGCGGGGCGGGACAGAACUCUCGCCCGAGCGGCCGGGGUGAGUGUGAGUGUGAGAGCGAGAACAGCCCCGCAGGUCCCGAGGCGCUGGCUGGGGACAAUGCCGCGGAAAGUUCCCAGUCCCCAGCCGCAGAUCUGCAGAAUUGAAAUGAAAUGUUUUGAGCUCUUCAAGCUGACUCGUCAGAAUCCUGGAGCCUUUUAAAAAAUGACGAAUUGGAAGGAAAAAUUACUUUAUCAAUAACCAGGCUCCACCAGGAUUGACCUAGAUGGUUGUUCCUGGCACUUGUCAUUCUCAGCAAGCACAGCUCAGAGAACAAAUACAAAAGACCCAAAGUGCAUUGCAUCUUUUAUGGAAGUGCCCAAUGUGGAAAUCAUAGAUUUCAAGGAAGGAACAAGAAAAUUGAUGAAACAAGUUCAAAAGAAAGGUCAUGAUGUCAUACUAAGAAGAAACCACCUGAGAUGAGACUGUUAGAUGUUCAGAGCAAACAAAAACAAAAACAGACCAACAAAAAAAACCCAAAACAAAACAGAAGUUUCUGAAGGACAGCAGAAAUGGUCAUCUGUCUCUUUUUAAGAGAAAAAUAAUAUCCAAAGAAGUUCCACCACUCAGAAGACUUUUACAUUCCAUGUCUCAUUUGCCAGAAUUUCUUCUUACAAGCUGUAAACCAAUCAUGGUUAGG
rnacentral:lncRNA from 1 species